UACGGCCACGUCACGUCGAAAAAUCGGUUCCCGUAUGAUUACCAAAGUUAAGCAACGUUGAGCCUGGCCAGUACCUAGACAGGUGAUUGCUUGGGAAUACCAGGUACUGUAAG